UUCAAGUGGGUCUUUAUGAAGAAAUGUUGUUUAGAGCCACCACAUGGUUAGGUCCAUAUGAUCUCACCUAGGAAAUCAAAUGUAAGAAUUUUUAGCUCGUUUAAUUAAUUUCAAGGCAAUUUUAUUUUUAUUUUUAUUUAUAAAAAAAAUCAUGAACCUAUGUAAUCGUGAUAUUUUUUUUACAAGAGAAUGAUUUUUUAUAUACUUAACGUGUAUAAAAAAAUCAUGAACCUAUAUCAUGAAUGAUUUUUUUGAUAAUAUUUCUACACGUUAAGUAUAUAAAAAAUCAUUCUCUUGUAAAAAAUAUCACGAUUCCAUAGGUUCAUGAUUUUUUUUUAUAAAUAAAAAUAAAAAUAAAAUUGACUUGAAAUUAAUUAAACGAGCUAAAAAUUCUUACAUUUGAUUUCCUAGGUGAGAUCAUAUGGACCUAACCAUGUGGUGGUUCUAAACAACAUUUCUUCAUGAAGACCCACUUGAAAUCUUGAUACAUAUUAGUCCAUGACCUGAAAAUCACAAAACAUCUUCAUACAAAAUAUAUGUUAUCAUCAUUAAAAUAAAAACUCAUAAAUCAACAUUCUCCCCUUUUUGAUGAUGAUAAUAUAUAAAUCUACAAAGCAACUUGUCAUCAUUAAAACCAAUAACAUAUAAACCAACAAAUAUCCUUAAGGUGAAUACCAUCCACAAUGGAUACACUUCCCAAGAUCUCAAGAAGAUCUGGGGCAUCAUAUAUAUGGUUUCUUCAACCUGUUGUGUUUAUUUUUAUAACUAUUAACCAUUUGCAUGAAAGGCUGUAAAUUCUACAGCUACAAGUCUGCAAAUAACAUAUUCGGAUUACUUCUUCAGCCAUAAGGCUUAUAGAAUCUAAAUGGUACAGCUUGCUUUCAUGAAUUCAUAUAAGAUAAUUCACCUAAGAUGGAUGUAUAAUGUAAUUAAGAUCUGAAUUUAGUCGUGCUUGCUUUCAAGUUUCAAAAACUCUCCGAAUGAAAGCCCCUACGAUGGGUUGGCUUUACAGAUGGUAUUUGUAAAAGGAAAAUGGUUGCCAUCAAUUUCAUCAUAGAUCCUGCUUUCUGGAUCAUUGUACCAAACUAUCUGGAUUUAUAAAUGUUGGCCUGUCACCCAUAAAUAUGAUGAAUUAUAUCGACAAGAGAAUAUUAUUAAAUUUUAAUAAUUCGCACUAUUUUUUACAGCUGCAUUUGUUACACCGCAUUAUUUUGGAAAUUCAUUUGUUUGAGGGCCUCAAAUUAUUCGAAUUUAUUCAUCUUGAUGUUCUGAUUUCUUUUCAAAUUGUAGUCAAUAGCUGUUAACUUGCUAUUGUCUUGCAAUAAACAUGUAUCUACAUAUAAAAAUAUUUUCUGUUAAAGGCUAAUUUAUUAUCUACAUUGGGUUUUGGAUCUUCUAGACUGUGUUGUAGAGUGCACAUAAGAUAUAUAAUGCAUAUGAUUGUUGUAGCAUGAUUUAUUUUUCAUACAAGAUUUUCAUAUAUUUAAGGAGUUUAAUGAUACUGAUCAUCUUCUUAAGAAUUACAAAAAUGAUUAUUUUAAAGGUAAAUUUUUAUAAACUCAUGUUUUUGUACUUUCUAAUCUCGUUGUUGAAAAUGGAANNNNNNNNNNNNNNNNNNNNNNNNNNNNNNNNNNNNNNNNNNNNNNNNNNNNNNNNNNNNNNNNNNNNNNNNNNNNNNNNNNNNNNNNNNNNNNNNNNNNGGGGAACCACAGAUAUUAGCGGGUAAACAAGUCCUCGACAUAGACAGUUAUGGAGUAUUAUGGGUCUCGAUGGACACUGUAUUUAGAUUUCAGAGGGCUAAAGAGAAGAUGUUUAGUUGUCUACCAUCAAUUGCCCCUCUUAUCUUAUUUCUCAAGUCUUCACCUGGGAAAUUUUUCGACCUAACAUGUUGACAAUUAUAGAGUAUUCUGGGUUUUUCAUGUUUUUUACUCCCUUCGUUCUGCAGAAGAAGUCUUACUUUCUUUGUAUAGUACUAUUAUUUACAAAGAAAAUGGUAUUCGAUUGAAGAUGGAGGGAGUACUUAUCAUUUAGAAUCUUAGUCUGUACUAAGAGGUGUAAUUACAUCUUUUCUGGUUGUCAGUUUUGUUAAUAGUGACUUUAUUUUAAUGCAGAAAAUUUGACUAUACAUUAUGUCAUGAACCAUGUCAAACAUGCUGAAUGCAGACAGUAAAAUAUCCAUAAUGAUCAUGAAGGUGUUGCUGUACAAAAUUCUGGUUCACUUUUGUAUCCGGUCUAAAUCACAGAGAUUUUACACCUGAUUUUCUUGAAUAACAAAAUCAAGGAAAUAGUGUUGGCAUUCUGGCUGUACGACACUGGGAGGGAAAUUGCAUGUUACCUAGAUUGCAAUUGCUAAAGCACUUUAUGUAGGUGCUGCUAUCUGAUAUUUCAUGUGGUUCUGGAAAUAUCUCUGUCCAGAAAACAGCAUGCCUAAUAUUCACCAACAGAUGAGAAACUAGAGAGAUGCAUAGCAGUGGUACAGGCAGGUGAGCUUGUAAGCAGCAUACAUGUUAUUCUUUUGAGGGCUGGUUAUGCCAUGACUAGUGAUUCCUUUGAGUGCAGUACCUGUAAAAUGCAAUACUGUCUGACGGAGUAUAGCAGAUUUCCAAUUUAUUUAUUUAUUUUAAAUUUUUUAUUAUUUAAAUGUGAUUAUUCCUUGCAUCAAACUAACUGUAAGUGAUUUAAAUGAGGAAUACCCUUAAUUCUGCUACUGGAAAUGGUUAUUAUGUCGAGUUUCAUCUGCAUAAUUCAGUCAAAAUAAAGGCAGCUGCUUCAUGAUCGGAAACCUUGUCUUUUAAUAGUUGAAGUUUUGAUUUCAAAGUUAUUGACUUGACUAGAUUGGAAUCUUAAUGACAUGGGUGUUUUGUUUGGUGAGUAGUAGUAGUUCAUCUGCAUCUUGCCUCCACUUUUAGACCUUACAUGAUAUUCCUUUGAUUUUUUUAGAAGCCGAGAUUCCUUUGGUUGGUACUGCAGUAGUGCAGAACCAAAUGGUGCCAAGGCGAUAAAGGACACCGUUGUAUUUGUCUG
rnacentral:lncRNA from 1 species